rnacentral:rRNA from 1 species
AUGAGAGGAGUGAAUGAAGAAGAGGUUUUGAGCAGCUUACCAGAAGAUAUCCAGAGAGAUAUAUGCCACCAUUUUCACAGAUUUCUUAAUAAGAUUCGAUUAUUCGCUUUGAAGGAUUGUGGACUUUGCGACGCUGUCUGUGACAAGUUGAAGCAUAAGUUAUAUGUUAGGGGAAGUGACAUUCUUUCUCAGGAUCAUCUUGUUGAAAAAAUCAUCUUUGAAGUGCGGGGUAAACUAGAAAGCAUCAGUGCAGAUGGAAGCAAGUCUCCAUUACAUGAAGGAGCUGUGUGUGGGGAAGAGCUGCUUAUGUGGUGGUUGGAGUAG